UUUCCUACGGGGCGCAGCAGUGGGGAAUAUUGGGCAAUGGGCGAAAGCCUGACCCAGCAACGCCGCGUGAAGGAAGAAGGCUUUCGGGUUGUAAACUUCUUUUGACAGGGAAGAGCAGAAGACGGUACCUGUCGAAUAAGCCACGGCUAACUACGAGCCAGCAGCCGCGGUAAUACGUAGGUGGCAAGAGUUGUCCGGAUUUACUGGGCGUAAAGGGCGGGUAGCCGGGCUGACAAGUCAGAUGUGAAAUCCGGGGGCUCAACCCCCGAACUGCAUUUGAAACUGUUGGUAUUG
rnacentral:rRNA from 1 species